UUGAACGCUGGCGGCAUGCUUUACACAUGCAAGUCGAACGGCAGCGCGGGCUUCGGCCUGGUGGCGAGUGGCGAACGGGUGAGUAAUACAUCGGAACGUGCCCAGUAGUGGGGGAUAGCUCGGCGAAAGCCGGAUUAAUACCGCAUACGACCUGAGGGUGAAAGCGGGGGAUCUUCGGACCUCGCGCUAUUGGAGCGGCCGAUGGCAGAUUAGCUAGUUGGUGGGGUAAAGGCCUACCAAGGCGACGAUCUGUAGCUGGUCUGAGAGGACGACCAGCCACACUGGGACUGAGACACGGCCCAGACUCCUACGGGAGGCAGCAGUGGGGAAUUUUGGACAAUGGGCGAAAGCCUGAUCCAGCAAUGCCGCGUGUGUGAUGAAGGCCUUCGGGUUGUAAAGCACUUUUGGCGGGAACGAAAAGGACUGUGCCAAUACCACGGUUCGAUGACGGUACCCGCAGAAUAAGCACCGGCUAACUACGUG
rnacentral:rRNA from 1 species